UUUCUAUAGAGAAAGGUAAUCAUAAUAUAAGGAAUGUUAAGAGUAGAAGAAGUAACAGAAUUCAUAACAGAAUUGUGAGAGAAAUAUUAUUGAAGUGAAGAAAUUGUUAUUACACUUGAAUAGAAAGAGAUAACAAAAGAGCUAUUUAUACUACAUAGGUGCUGUAUGUUAACUACUGUGUGUACUAGCACACUUAAUCACACUUAUGCAGUGAGUUAAAAACUAAUAGACUAAGUAAUAGUUUCCUUGUUUUUAUCUUCAUUUUCUUCAAUUCUCAACAACCUUCCACAAGCUGGAGCUUGGUAAAUAUCUAUCAAGCCAAGCUUGGACACAAGAUUAUUGAACUUUGAAGUUGAUAAAGCUUUAGUAAGAAACUGUUCUUCAAUUCUCAACAAGGAAUGUUUGUAGAUAAUGUCAACGUUUGUUUUUUCAAUAUCUUUUAUCAAUGGAUUAUAUUGAGUGCAGAUUUUGAUAAUAUAGAUCGUAUUGUGUAGGAUUUUGGUAAUUGAAGUUUCUGCAUAAUUUUGUUUGGAACCGUGUCUGGUAUUUGAGCUGUAGCCGUCAAACCGUAACUCCGUUUUGAAUAAUAUUUACAUGUCUGGAAAGCUGACGAAAUUAUCUUCGAUUGAGUACCAAUUUUGUAAUUUCUGGAUUUAUAAUGAAGUCUGGGGAUGUGUUUGAAUCUAGGGUACUGAUGCUGUCAAAUUGCUGUUUUUGGACUGCGGGUUUUACGUGCUCAAGCUACACGAACGGAUCAUUAAGAGCAUACUGAACAGCUCGGAAAUGUUGGAAUCGCAGGUAACAGGUUGAGCAGAAUAAAUGGAUUUCCAAGAGGAUUGUAGUAAAGACGCUGUUUAUGGAAACUUCGUAGCAUUGAUCACCUGUUAAUUAUUAUAGAAGAUGGCUCAAGGCUUGAUCCUGGUUGUUAUGUAUUCCAUUUCGCUCUGAUGUAUAAUAUAUUAUAGGUUGUACAUUAUGACAGUUUAUUCAGGAUUUUGUCAAGAUUAUGUAUUGCCCGGCAAAUUAUCUUGUAAUUGUACUA